rnacentral:lncRNA from 1 species
UUUUUUUCUCCUUCCUAUGCAUGCAUUUAUUUUAAUGAUUGAAACAAAUUGCUAUUAACUUGCUAUAUGUUUAUCAGCAUUGUCAAAUAGUGGCUACAACGUAAUAGAAUUUAAACAGACUACAGCUGUUCUGCGAUAUGCAAUUUAGUAAAAAGUGUUGUCAAAUAGUGGCUAUAGCGCUUUCGUGUAACAAACCAUCUUUCUUUUCGACGCGCUAUUGACAAUACCAAUACCUAUUUCAUUGAUUAAUCAUUUCUUGGCAGUUUUGUAGUUGGGUAGCUAGUGAUAAAUGAUAACAUGCUCCCUUGUUAACUAGUAUUGUUGUGUACUUUGUUGAGAGUUAUUCCUUUAACUACUAGUUAGUUGAUAUCAUCCUCAAUCAAUUUUUCUUGAUGUGUUUAUGCAGGUAUCAGCAAAGGCAAUAUAUGAAGCCAUUGAUAAGUACAAAGUGACUCAUUUUUGUGCAGCACCAGUGGUGCUUAACUCAAUACUUAAUGCCCCAGCUGAGGAAACCAUAUUUCCUCUACCUCAUGUUGUACACGUGAAUACAGCCGGAGCUGCUCCUCCUCCUUCUGUUCUUUCUGGCAUGUCUGAACGAGGAUUUCGUGUCACACACACUUAUGGUCUUUCAGAAACCUAUGGCCCGUCCAUUUAUUGUGCCUGGAAACCAGAGUGGGACUCACUUCCACCAGAAUCUCGAGCCCGUCUCCACGCAAGACAAGGAGUUAGGUACAUUGCCUUAGAAGGCCUAGACAUUGUGAACACAGAAACAAUGCAACCUGUUCCUGCUGAUGCAGGUAUCAGCAAAGGCAAUAUAUGAAGCCAUUGAUAAGUACAAAGUGACUCAUUUUUGUGCAGCACCAGUGGUGCUUAACUCAAUACUUAAUGCCCCAGCUGAGGAAACCAUAUUUCCUCUACCUCAUGUUGUACACGUGAAUACAGCCGGAGCUGCUCCUCCUCCUUCUGUUCUUUCUGGCAUGUCUGAACGAGGAUUUCGUGUCACACACACUUAUG